AGCUCAGUUGGUAGAGCAACUGACUCUUAAUCAGUGGGUCGAGAGUUCGAGCCUCUCC
rnacentral:tRNA from 1 species